rnacentral:rRNA from 1 species
AAAGUUCCCUUCGGGGGACAAGUAGAGUGGCGCACGGGUGAGUAACACGUAGGUAAUCUACCUUCGGGUGGGGAAUAACAACCGGAAACGGUUGCUAAUACCGCAUAAUGCAGCGGCACCUAAUGGUGACAGUUGUUAAAGCGGGGGAUCGCAAGAUCUCGCGCCUGAAGAGGAGCCUGCGGCGGAUUAGCUAGUUGGUAGGGUAAUGGCCUACCAAGGCGACGAUCCGUAACCGGCCUGAGAGGGCGGUCGGUCACACUGACACUGACAUACGGGUCAGACUCCUACGGGAGGCAGCAGUCGGGAAUUUUGGGCAAUGGGCGAAAGCCUGACCCAGCAACGCCGCGUGAAGGAUGAAAUCCCUCGGGAUGUAAACUUCGCAAGAACGGGAAGAAUAAGUGGAAGUUAAUACCUUCCAUGAUGACGGUACCGUUUGUAAGCUCCGGCUAACUCCGUGCCAGCAGCCGCGGUAAUACGGGGGGAGCAAGCGUUGUUCGGAUUUACUGGGCGUAAAGGGCGCGUAGGCGGCCUCCGCAAGUCAGUUGUGAAAUCUCCGAGCUUAACUCGGAAAGGUCAACUGAUACUGCGGGGCUAGAGUGCGGAAGGGGCAACUGGAAUUCUUGGUGUAGCGGUGAAAUGCGUAGAUAUCAAGAGGAACACCUGCGGCGAAGGCGGGUUGCUGGGCCGACACUGACGCUGAGGCGCGAAAGCUAGGGGAGCGAACGGGAUUAGAUACCCCGGUAGUCCUAGCCUUAAACGAUGAAUGCUUGGUGUCUGGGGUUAUAUAGUCCCCGGGUGCCGUCGCUAACGC